rnacentral:rRNA from 1 species
GCAAGUCGAGGGGUAUGUGGUGCUUGCAUCACAGAGACCGGCGCACGGGUGCGUAACGCGUAUGCAAUCUACCUUUUACUAAGGGAUAGCCCAGAGAAAUUUGGAUUAAUACCUUAUAGUAUGACGACCUCACCUGAGGAUGUUAUUAAAGUUACAACGGUAAAAGAUGUGCAUGCGUCCCAUUAGCUAGUUGGUAUGGUAACGGCAUACCAAGGCUACGAUGGGUAGGGGUCCUGAGAGGGAGAUC